AUUGAACGCUGGCGGCAGGCCUAACACAUGCAAGUCGAGCGGUAGCACAGAGAGCUUGCUCUCGGGUGACGAGCGGCGGACGGGUGAGUAAUGUCUGGGAAACUGCCUGAUGGAGGGGGAUAACUACUGGAAACGGUAGCUAAUACCGCAUAACGUCGCAAGACCAAAGAGGGGGACCUUCGGGCCUCUUGCCAUCAGAUGUGCCCAGAUGGGAUUAGCUAGUAGGUGGGGUAACGGCUCACCUAGGCGACGAUCCCUAGCUGGUCUGAGAGGAUUACCAGCCACACUGGAACUGAGACACGGUCCAGACUCCUACGGGAGGCAGCGGUGGGGAAUAUUGCACAAUGGGCGCAAGCCUGAUGCAGCCAUGCCGCGUGUAUGAAGAAGGCCUUCGGGUUGUAAAGUACUUUCAGCGGGGAGGAAGGUGUUGUGGUUAAUAACCACAGCAAUUGACGUUACCCGCAGAAGAAGCACCGGCUAACUCCGUGCCAGCAGCCGCCGUAAAAC
rnacentral:rRNA from 1 species